rnacentral:tRNA from 1 species
UUUUGUGGUUUAGUUGGUUAAAACACCGGUCAAACGAGUAUAGAGUUGUGGGUUCGAAUCCCAUCAAAA